UGGGAGCUUGCUCCCUGAGAUUAGCGGCGGACGGGUGAGUAACACGUGGGCAACCUGCCUAUAAGACUGGGAUAACUUCGGGAAACCGGAGCUAAUACCGGAUACGUUCCUUUCUCGCAUGAGAGAAGAUGGAAAGACGGUUUCGGCUGUCACUUAUAGAUGGGCCCGCGGCGCAUUAGCUAGUUGGUGAGGUAAUGGCUCACCAAGGCGACGAUGCGUAGCCGACCUGAGAGGGUGAUCGGCCACACUGGGACUGAGACACGGCCCAGACUCCUACGGGAGGCAGCAGUAGGGAAUCUUCCGCAAUGGACGAAAGUCUGACGGAGCAACGCCGCGUGAACGAAGAAGGCCUUCGGG
rnacentral:rRNA from 1 species